rnacentral:rRNA from 1 species
GAUGAACGCUAGCGGCAGGCUUAACACAUGCAAGUCGAGGGGCAGCAUGAGGGUUAGCAAUAACCCUUGAUGGCGACCGGCGCAAGGGUGCGUAACGCGUGAGCAACUUGCCCGUUUCAGGGGGAUAACCGGUGGAAACGCCGACUAAUACCCCAUAGUAUUGGUUUGAGGCAUCUCUUACCAAUUAAAGAAAUUCGGAAACGGAUAGGCUCGCGUGACAUUAGCUAGAUGGCGGGGUAACGGCCCACCAAGGCGACGAUCAUUAGGGGUUCUGAGAGGAAGGUCCCCCAUAUUGGAACUGAGACACGGUCCAAACUCCUACGGGAGGCAGCAGUGAGGAAUAUUGGUCAAUGGACGCAAGUCUGAACCAGCCAUGUCGCGUGAAGGAUGACUGUCCUAUGGAUUGUAAACUUCUUUUAUAUGGGGAUAAAGUGUGAGACUUGUCUCAUUUUGCAUGUACCAUAUGAAUAAGCAUCGGCUAACUCCGUGCCAGCAGCCGCGGUAAUAC